rnacentral:rRNA from 1 species
GGUUAAGCGACUAAGCGUACACGGUGGAUGCCCUGGCAGUCAGAGGCGAUGAAGGACGUGCUAAUCUGCGAUAAGCGUCGGUAAGGUGAUAUGAACCGUUAUAACCGGCGAUUUCCGAAUGGGGAAACCCAGUGUGUUUCGACACACUAUCAUUAACUGAAUCCAUAGGUUAAUGAGGCGAACCGGGGGAACUGAAACAUCUAAGUACCCCGAGGAAAAGAAAUCAACCGAGAUUCCCCCAGUAGCGGCGAGCGAACGGGGAGCAGCCCAGAGUCUGAAUCAGUGUGUGUGUUAGUGGAAGCGUCUGGAAAGGCGCGCGAUACAGGGUGACAGCCCCGUACACAAAAAUGCACAUGCUGUGAGCUCGAUGAGUAGGGCGGGACACGUGGUAUCCUGUCUGAAUAUGGGGGGACCAUCCUCCAAGGCUAAAUACUCCUGACUGACCGAUAGUGAACCAGUACCGUGAGGGAAAGGCGAAAAGAACCCCGGCGAGGGGAGUGAAAAAGAACCUGAAACCGUGUACGUACAAGCAGUGGGAGCCUCUUUAUGGGGUGACUGCGUACCUUUUGUAUAAUGGGUCAGCGACUUAUAUUCUGUAGCAAGGUUAACCGAAUAGGGGAGCCGAAGGGAAACCGAGUCUUAACUGGGCGUUAAGUUGCAGGGUAUAGACCCGAAACCCGGUGAUCUAGCCAUGGGCAGGUUGAAGGUUGGGUAACACUAACUGGAGGACCGAACCGACUAAUGUUGAAAAAUUAGCGGAUGACUUGUGGCUGGGGGUGAAAGGCCAAUCAAACCGGGAGAUAGCUGGUUCUCCCCGAAAGCUAUUUAGGUAGCGCCUCGUGAAUUCAUCUCCGGGGGUAGAGCACUGUUUCGGCAAGGGGGUCAUCCCGACUUACCAACCCGAUGCAAACUGCGAAUACCGGAGAAUGUUAUCACGGGAGACACACGGCGGGUGCUAACGUCCGUCGUGAAGAGGGAAACAACCCAGACCGCCAGCUAAGGUCCCAAAGUCAUGGUUAAGUGGGAAACGAUGUGGGAAGGCCCAGACAGCCAGGAUGUUGGCUUAGAAGCAGCCAUCAUUUAAAGAAAGCGUAAUAGCUCACUGGUCGAGUCGGCCUGCGCGGAAGAUGUAACGGGGCUAAACCAUGCACCGAAGCUGCGGCAGCGACACUGUGUGUUGUUGGGUAGGGGAGCGUUCUGUAAGCCUGCGAAGGUGUGCUGUGAGGUAUGCUGGAGGUAUCAGAAGUGCGAAUGCUGACAUAAGUAACGAUAAAGCGGGUGAAAAGCCCGCUCGCCGGAAGACCAAGGGUUCCUGUCCAACGUUAAUCGGGGCAGGGUGAGUCGACCCCUAAGGCGAGGCCGAAAGGCGUAGUCGAUGGGAAACAGGUUAAUAUUCCUGUACUUGGUGUUACUGCGAAGGGGGGACGGAGAAGGCUAUGUUGGCCGGGCGACGGUUGUCCCGGUUUAAGCGUGUAGGCUGGUUUUCCAGGCAAAUCCGGAAAAUCAAGGCUGAGGCGUGAUGACGAGGCACUACGGUGCUGAAGCAACAAAUGCCCUGCUUCCAGGAAAAGCCUCUAAGCAUCAGGUAACAUCAAAUCGUACCCCAAACCGACACAGGUGGUCAGGUAGAGAAUACCAAGGCGCUUGAGAGAACUCGGGUGAAGGAACUAGGCAAAAUGGUGCCGUAACUUCGGGAGAAGGCACGCUGAUAUGUAGGUGAAGCGACUUGCUCGUGGAGCUGAAAUCAGUCGAAGAUACCAGCUGGCUGCAACUGUUUAUUAAAAACACAGCACUGUGCAAACACGAAAGUGGACGUAUACGGUGUGACGCCUGCCCGGUGCCGGAAGGUUAAUUGAUGGGGUCAGCGCAAGCGAAGCUCUUGAUCGAAGCCCCGGUAAACGGCGGCCGUAACUAUAACGGUCCUAAGGUAGCGAAAUUCCUUGUCGGGUAAGUUCCGACCUGCACGAAUGGCGUAAUGAUGGCCAGGCUGUCUCCACCCGAGACUCAGUGAAAUUGAACUCGCUGUGAAGAUGCAGUGUACCCGCGGCAAGACGGAAAGACCCCGUGAACCUUUACUAUAGCUUGACACUGAACAUUGAGCCUUGAUGUGUAGGAUAGGUGGGAGGCUUAGAAGUGUGGACGCCAGUCUGCAUGGAGCCGACCUUGAAAUACCACCCUUUAAUGUUUGAUGUUCUAACGUUGACCCGUAAUCCGGGUUGCGGACAGUGUCUGGUGGGUAGUUUGACUGGGGCGGUCUCCUCCUAAAGAGUAACGGAGGAGCACGAAGGUUGGCUAAUCCUGGUCGGACAUCAGGAGGUUAGUGCAAUGGCAUAAGCCAGCUUGACUGCGAGCGUGACGGCGCGAGCAGGUGCGAAAGCAGGUCAUAGUGAUCCGGUGGUUCUGAAUGGAAGGGCCAUCGCUCAACGGAUAAAAGGUACUCCGGGGAUAACAGGCUGAUACCGCCCAAGAGUUCAUAUCGACGGCGGUGUUUGGCACCUCGAUGUCGGCUCAUCACAUCCUGGGGCUGAAGUAGGUCCCAAGGGUAUGGCUGUUCGCCAUUUAAAGUGGUACGCGAGCUGGGUUUAGAACGUCGUGAGACAGUUCGGUCCCUAUCUGCCGUGGGCGCUGGAGAACUGAGGGGGGCUGCUCCUAGUACGAGAGGACCGGAGUGGACGCAUCACUGGUGUUCGGGUUGUCAUGCCAAUGGCACUGCCCGGUAGCUAAAUGCGGAAGAGAUAAGUGCUGAAAGCAUCUAAGCACGAAACUUGCCCCGAGAUGAGUUCUCCCUGACUCCUUGAGAGUCCUGAAGGAACGUUGAAGACGACGACGUUGAUAGGCCGGGUGUGUAAGCGCAGCGAUGCGUUGAGCUAACCGGUACUAAUGAACCGUGAGGCUUAACCUU